UAAGGAAUAUUGGACAAUGGAGGCAACUCUGAUCCAGCCAUGCCGCGUGAAGGAAUAAGGCCCUAUGGGUUGUAAACUUCUUUUAGACGGGACAAAACCCCUUUACGUGUAAAGGGUUGAUGGUACUGUCAGAAUAAGCACCGGCUAACUCCGUGCCAGCAGCCGCGGUAAUACGGAGGGUGCAAGCGUUAUCCGGAUUCACUGGGUUUAAAGGGUGCGUAGGUGGGCAGAUAAGUCAGUGGUGAAAUCUUCCGGCUUAACCGGGAAACUGCCGUUGAUACUAUUUGUCUUGAAUAUUGCGGAGGUAAGCGGAAUAUGUCAUGUAGCGGUGAAAUGCUUAGAUAUGACAUAGAACACCAAUUGCGAAGGCAGCUUACUACACAAUCAUUGACACUGAGGCACGAAAGCGUGGGUAGCGAACA
rnacentral:rRNA from 1 species